rnacentral:rRNA from 1 species
GACGAACGCUGGCGGCGUGCUUAACACAUGCAAGUCGAACGGAAAGGCCCUGCUGCUGUGUUGUGCUCGAGUGGCGAACGGGUGAGUAACACGUGAGUAACCUGCCCUUGACUUUGGGAUAACUUCAGGUAACAGGGGCUAAUACCGGCUAGUAGCUCCUGCUGCAUGGUGGGGGUGGGAAAGUUUCGGCGGUUGGGGCUGGACUCGCGGCUAAUCAGCUUGUUGGUGGGGGAGUGGGUGACCAAGGCUUUGACGGGUAGCCGGCAUGUGAGGGGGGCCGGGCACAAUGGGACUGAGGGAGGGAGCAGACGCCUACGGGGGGCAACAGGGGGGAGCCUGGCGCAACGGGGGGGCGUGUAAGGCGACGGCGCCGGGGGCGGAAAGAAGGUCUUGGGGUUAGAAAGCGCGUUAGGCUGAGACGAAGCGUGAGUGACGGUAAUGGGUGAAGAAGCACCGGCUAACUACGUG